CUUAUAAUUGUUUCUUUGACAUGUAGCAUUUAAGUAUUAUUGUGUAAAUAACAGUUUAAAUAUUUUCAUAAUAAAGAACGAUCACCGGAAAAACUAGAAAAACUAGAGAUUCAUUAAAUUUCCUUAUUCUUAUCAUUUACCUUGAUUCUUUUGUUUUUGUUUAACUGAUUCAACAAACUCCUUAACAUUUAACUGACACACCACUUCACUGCAAAGUUGUUUUCGGUUACCCUUGGGUACGUUUGAUAAGAUCUCUAAUCCGCUUGCUCGUUCCACAACCUCAACGGGAACUGCAAAGUUCUUUAACGGAAAGUUGUCAGCAAUAGGUUUGUUGGGAAGAACGAAUGCAGCUACUGAUGGACUUGAGGUAGGCUCUCCUGAUUUUUCUGCAAUGAUUACUUUAAAAAAAUGAGUAGGAACUGCGACGUUGGGAGGAUUGCCAAUUACUCGAUACUGAACUUCCCAUUGUCCACGUUCAUUUUUUUUAGGUAAAUACAGCGGUCCCGUCAUUAUGGUAACUGAGCCGUAUUUACUUGUAAGGCGUCGACACCAAUCUUCAAAGUAUGCCCAAUCUAAUUGUUAUAGUUAGUAACUAGUCAAAUUUAUUAAUGUAUUAAAAGAAAAAGUCUCGUUAAGUUUUUGCUUACAGUUUCUAUUGAAACCAUCUCCCACUUGUGGACACAUAUUAGAAAGAUAGAAAGUUUCGUUCAUUGCUUCCUGACUAAAUUUACAAUCUGCUGCAGGUACUUGAUGACCACGAUCAUAACCGCUUCCUCUGUAAUCUCCUAACUUUGCUUGAAACAUUUCAGGAAUAUUAUCAUCUGGAACGAACUCAGAGUACCUGCGAUUGCCUUUGCGUUGGUUCAACGAUUCUUGUGUAAUGGUUUCCGCUGUCUAGUUUAUUAUUAAUAUAAUGCACUCCGAGAGACCAGAAAUUUAAACAUUUAAUCUAUUGCCGUGAUCUAUAAUUCCUAGGUAAAGAAAGCUUAGGAAACGGUGUUUUUGCUUACAUAGAAUGGAUUUCGUGUUCUCCGAUCGAACACAGACAUAUAGCCAUGGUUUACCCUUUGGUCUGCCACUGGUCCUGGUAUGCCGUAUUGAAAAAAUUUGGUGGCAUUAAAAUCAUAUAUAGAUUCUAAGGCUCGACCAGCAGAGUCAAAUUUGGUAUACCUGGGUGUCAAGUCUGGUACAUCGGAUCCUUGAUAUCCUUUAUAAUAAAAAUGCGUGAAAGUUACACCCGAGAUCGCUCCAAUUGCUAUUAAUCCAAAAGAUUUGAUAAGAUUACUAGACAUAUCGUCGAUUGGGAAUUAAAAGAAGUGGGAGUGUAGGUAAAGAGAAGAUUGGAAUAUUCACUGCGUGUGAGUUUUUAAAUAAUUGGGAGUUAUCGUUAUGGCCAAGAAGAAUAUUAAAAAUAUAUUGUUAAACAUUAAUU